UGGGGAAUAUUGGACAAUGGGCGCAAGCCUGAUCCAGCCAUGCCGCGUGAGUGAUGAAGGCCCUAGGGUUGUAAAGCUCUUUCACCGGUGAAGAUAAUGACGGUAACCGGAGAAGAAGCCCCGGCUAACUUCGUGCCAGCAGCCGCGGUAAUACGAAGGGGGCUAGCGUUGUUCGGAUUUACUGGGCGUAAAGCGAACGUAGGCGGACUUUUAAGUCAGGGGUGAAAUCCCGGGGCUCAACCCCGGAACUGCCUUUGAUACUGGAAGUCUUGAGUAUGGUAGAGGUGAGUGGAAUUCCGAGUGUAGAGGUGAAAUUCGUAGAUAUUCGGAGGAACACCAGUGGCGAAGGCGGCUCACUGGACCAUUACUGACGCUGAGGUGCGAAAGCGUGGGGAGCAAACAGG
rnacentral:rRNA from 1 species